UGGGGAAUUGUUCGCAAUGGGCGCAAGCCUGACGACGCAACGCCGCGUGGAGGAUGAAGGUCUUCGGAUUGUAAACUCCUGUUGCCCGGGACGAAAUGUUCAGACCUAAUACGUCUGAGUUUGACGGUACCGGGUGAGGAAGCCCCGGCUAACUCUGUGCCAGCAGCCGCGGUAAUACAGAGGGGGCAAGCGUUGUUCGGAAUUACUGGGCGUAAAGGGCUCGUAGGCGGCCAACUAAGUCAGACGUGAAAUCCCUCGGCUUAACCGGGGAACUGCGUCUGAUACUGGAUGGCUUGAGGUUGGGAGAGGGAUGCGGAAUUCCAGGUGUAGCGGUGAAAUGCGUAGAUAUCUGGAGGAACACCGGUGGCGAAGGCGACAUCCUGGACCAAUUCUGACGCUGAGGAGCGAAAGCCAGGGGAGCAAACGGGAUUAGAUACCCUAGUAGUCCCUGAGCGGGCUGGCAAGGCGCAU
rnacentral:rRNA from 1 species